rnacentral:rRNA from 1 species
ACGCUGGCGGCGCACAUAAGACAUGCAAGUCGAACGAACUUAAUUGAGAGCUUGCUCUCAAAGCGGUUAGUGGCGGACUGGUGAGUAACACGUAAGCAACCUGCCUAUUAGAGGGGAAUAACAGCGAGAAAUCGUUGCUAAUACCGCAUAUGCUGUGAGUAUCGCAUGAUACAAGCAGGAAAGGAGCAAUCCGCUAAUAGAUGGGCUUGCGUCUGAUUAGUUAGUUGGUGGGGUAACGGCCUACCAAGACGAUGAUCAGUAGCCGGACUGAGAGGUUGAACGGCCACAUUGGGACUGAGAUACGGCCCAGACUCCUACGGGAGGCAGCAGUCGGGAAUAUUGCGCAAUGGAGGAAACUCUGACGCAGUGACGCCGCGUGCAGGAAGAAGGUUUUCGGAUUGUAAACUGCUUUUAACAGGAAAGAAAAAAAUGACGGUACCUGUUGAAUAAGCUCCGGCUAACUACGUGCCAGCAGCCGCGGUAAUACGUAGGGAGCGAGCGUUAUCCGGAUUUAUUGGGUGUAAAGGGUGCGUAGACGGAAAUGCAAGUUAGUUGUGAAAUACCUCGGCUUAACUGAGGAACUGCAACUAAAACUAUAUUUCUUGAGUAUCGGAGGGGUUUGUGGAAUUCCUAGUGUAGCGGUGAAAUGCGUAGAUAUUAGGAAGAACACCGGUGGCGAAGGCGACAAACUGGACAAUAACUGACGUUGAGGCACGAAAGUGUGGGGAGCAAACAGGAUUAGAUACCCUGGUAGUCCACACCGUAAACGAUGGAUACUAGGUGUUGGCAAUGAAUAAUUGUCGGUGCCGGCGCUAACGCAAUAAGUAUCCCACCUAGGGAGUACGACCGCAAGGUUGAAACUCAAAGGAAUUGACGGGGGCCCGCACAAGCAGUGGAGUAUGUGGUUUAAUUCGAAGAUA